rfam:Acidobacteria bacterium 13_1_20CM_2_68_7 13_1_20cm_2_scaffold_1083, whole genome shotgun sequence.
GGAGUGAGACGGAUGGUCGCUGCCCGGACCUCAGGUCCGGGGAGAGGAAAGUCCGAACUCCACAGGGCAUUGCGCUGGGUAACACCCAGUCCCGGCGACGGGAAGGAAAGUGCCACAGAAAACAGACCGCCGGGGCGGGGAGAUCAGCCUCCGUCCCGGUAAGGGUGAAACGGUGGGGUAAGAGCCCACCAGUGCCCCGGGUGACCGGGGUAGCUCGGCAAACCCCGCAAGGAGCAAGGCCAAAUAGGGGAGCGCUCGCGGGUGGCCCGCCCGUCAGCUCCCGGGUAGGUCGCUUGGCCCCCGGGCCGGGGACGAUGUCGGCCGCACCCUCAGGGGCGCGGUCGCGCGCUCCCGCCGGGUCCGGGACGCCGCCCCCGCGGGUGACCGCGGGGGUAGAGGAAUGACCAUCGGCCGCCGGUUUCGGCGGUAACAGGAUUCGGCUUACGGAUCACUCCGGCC